GAUUUUGACUCUGGCAUAAGGCGAACUAUUGAAAUUUCGAAACGUUUCGAAACAGUUAUGAUGUAACGAAGCCUUGUUUACUGAAAUCAUGUGAC